AUCAUGAGAUUUGAUUAAAGAUUGCGAUUAUGUCGUCAUUACGAAAUUUUACAUUUCCGGCAUAUUCUUAAACAGCGAGACUUGUUUUUAAUUAAACAGGUCUCUUUUG
rfam:Streptococcus thermophilus CNCM I-1630 Contig0246, whole genome shotgun sequence.